rnacentral:rRNA from 1 species
UACGUAGGGGGCUAGCGUUGUCCGGAUUUAUUGGGCGUAAAGAGCGUGUAGGCGGCCAGGUAGGUCUGGUGUGAAAACUCGAGGCUUAACCUCGAGAUGUCAUCGGAAACCAUCUGGCUAGAGUCCGGAAGAGGAGAGUGGAAUUCCUGGUGUAGCGGUGAAAUGCGCAGAUAUCAGGAAGAACACCAAUGGCGAAAGCAGCUCUCUGGGACGGUACUGACGCUGAGGCACGAAAGCGUGGGGAUCAAACAGG